rnacentral:sRNA from 1 species
GGCAGAGCCGGAAGACCCUCUCUUUCGCUGUUUGAGAGUCUCUCGGCUCAAGGACCGGGAGUUUGAGGUGGUAUCAACAUCCUACAGAAGAAGAAUUAAGAAUUCUUGCAGGGAAACAGCAAAAAGGGAAAACCAAAAAAGAUAGGAAAUAUAAUGGUCACAUUGAAAGUAAGCCAUUAACCAUUCCAAAGGAUAUUGACCUUCAUCUAGAAACAAAGUCAGUUACAGAAGUGGAUACUUUAGCAUUGCAUUACUUUCCAGAAUACCAGUGGCUGGUGGAUUUCACAGUGGCUGCUACAGUUGUGUAUCUAGUAACUGAAGUCUACUACAGUUUUAUGAAGCCUACACAGGAAAUGAAUAUCAGCUUAGUCUGGUGCCUGCUUGUUUUGUCUUUUGCAAUCAAAGUUCUAUUUUCAUUAACUACACACUAUUUUAAAGUAGAAGAUGGUGGUGAAAGAUCUGUUUGUGUCACCUUUGGAUUUUUUUUCUUUGUCAAAGCAAUGGCAGUGUUGAUUGUAACAGAAAAUUAUCUGGAAUUUGGACUUG